rnacentral:lncRNA from 1 species
CAUGUGAUAAUAUUCAUCAAAAUGCCAUGACUAAAAGUCAUAUAUAACAUGUUUUACCUGAAACAACUACAUAAUAACUAUGAUCCAAAGGAAUUUAUAGGAAUGUAAUUUCUGGUUAGUUUUAGUUGCAUACGUACAAAUAACUUAUAGUAUCUCUAAGUAAAUUAAAACUUGUGUUCCUAGAGUAUCAGAAGUUAAUUUCAUCCUUACAACAGGGCACCCACAAUACACAAAAACAUAAAAUCUAAGGUAACCCAUUUACCAGUCUUCCAAAAUAUAAGUAUCCAACCUAUCAUUCCAAUCACACACCAACACUAUAUUCCUAUGCGACUAUCAGGAACUUGAUCCUCUACCAUUUCUUGGGGGAGAAGUGUUGCUUGUUAUUUGUAUGAUCAUAAGAUAUACCAGUACACAAUAUACAAAAAACAAAGAGAGAGUAAGUUAUCAUUUUAAGGCACAAUAUGUGGAAUUAUAUGGAAAUUAAGUAUCAUAACAUAAUAUAAAUAAUAUAUCAUA